AGCGCAUGGAAAUUAUUUUGUUGGUGUAAUUUUCGAUUCUUAGUUUUUUAAUAGCAUCAUCAGGUGAUAGAGUAUGGAAGAUAUGAAUUCUGAUCAGGUAUUUGAAAUACCUGACACUCCCGAGAGAGCAGCUGCACGGAGUAUAAAUGGUGCACAAUUCAGAAAAGAAAGUAUUUCGUCAAUUCCUGGUCGUCUAAGAAAGUCUGGCUUUGUGGAUGAAAAGAGUUUUAAUCCGCCACGGACAAGCAGGGGUAGGAUUCUUAGUGAAAAUGGGCUCAAUAGAAGACUUCAUUUGCAUCCUCAAAAGAGUCCCAUUAAUGUUGAUGAAUAUGAUUCUCCAAGUAAUUCUGCUUUGGAUUCCCAUCCCCACCAGAAUGUGCCUUUAUUUAGAAGGCCAGCAAUAGUUAAUAACUCCAGGCCUGAGAAUAGGCAUUCUAAAGGAGUACAGUAUGUGGAAAAAUCAAAAGCUGGCCGUGCUGCAAAUUCCUCUAAAAAACCAUUUUGCAUGGAAGGUGAUGAUAUUUUUGAUUUAACUGAGAUGAGUGAGCCUGACAGAUUACUCGACAUUGUUUUUCCUCACAGUGCAUCAAAAGAUCUCCAAGCUAAAGAGACAAGAGAAGGUCAAUUAUCAUCUAAUGGUGGCUCUUCUGUACAGCUGGCUCCUCUUCCUUCAGGAAUAUCUGGCAGCACCUCUAAGGGAAAGGAAAAAAUAGAUGUGAAUACAUGUAAUGGUUCUGGUUCAGCUUCAAAUAAUGUGAAAGAGAUUGAUCGUGCUAGUGGUCAUCAACACAAAAUCGAAAAGCAGCUUCCUGCUUGUCAUCUAUCUGUUACCUCACCAAGAGUUGGUGGGAAAAAGAGAUUAGUGCGAAAUGGAUGUAUUUCUCCACAUAAUAUAGCCACUAGAGCCCAAAAAUUAGCUGAAAGUUCCCAGGAUGGCUCCCCAGGUGACAAAAGAAAUCAUGCCAGGAACAAGUUGUCUGAUGGUCCACCUAACACAGACCUCAGGGAAAUAGUUGCUGAAGGCAAUGAUUGUUAUAGAGCUAAAGGAAAAAAGGCAAUAGUCCAUCCUUCUGCAUCAAAGGAGCAUGAUGCCUACAUGACCAGAAGUUCUGCAACUAAUAAUGAAGCAUCCCGUGAAUCCAGGGAUGGCCAUAGAGAUGCAUUAUUUGGUGGCUGGAGAAGUACACACAAAAGAUCGAAGACACAAGAUCAGCCACUGGCUUAUAUGGAACAGGGUAUUUUGGGAAGAGAUGAUCAUGCUAGAUGCUCUACAAAUGAACAACAUGAUGAUAGAUUAGUGGAAGGAGAUAGUAGCAGUGGUGGAAAACUACAUCAUGUUGGGAAUCUAGUUGCUACGCAUGGAUUAACUUCAAGAAAUCCUGGUGAAUGCUCUACAAUGGUUCCUGAUGACACUGAAGUUUUGUUUCUUGGUUCAUCUCGGGGAUCAUCUAGCUCAAGGUCAUCUGGAGUCCAUGAUCAUCAACAUGAUGGCAAUCUAGAACCAAUUUAUGAAAUUGAUGAGUUGACUGAAGUGAGAAACAAUGAUCCUCAAUUAAUAGGUUCCAGAAGUAAUGAGGACUCAGAUGUUAUGGCAAGGCAAAUGGAAGCUGAUGAGAUGUUGGCUCGGGAACUGCAAGAACGAUUAUAUCAUGAGGAACCAAUAUUUGGAGGUGGCGAGAUUGAUGAAAAUAUAGCAUGGGUCCUGCAGCAGGAGGAAGAUGCACUCCCUGCUACUUCUGGUCACAAUCAUCCUGUUCCACAUCUUAGAAACUCAUUAGUAGCACAUCCAUCAAGACAGCGCUUGCCUCGGUCCUCUCAGAACCCUUCAAAUAGGAGAGGAAACCAGGUUCAAGUUACUACUACCCGAGCAUCGGGCUUGAGGAGUCGCUUGUCCAACCGGACUCCUGUAAGAAUAUCAAGAGAGAGGAACCCCGUUCCUGCAGUAUUCCCUGGAGGGUUGAAUUUCCAAUUUCCUUCGGGAAUGGAUUUAUUGAUGAGACUUGAUAUAUUGGAAAAUUUAGAGGCUUCAAUGACAGCUACUCGCAUGCUUCAUGUUCAGCGUGAUUUUAAUGAGAAUGAUUAUGAAAUGCUGUUGGCCCUUGAUGAGAACAAUUCUCAACAUGGUGCAUCUGCCAAUCAAAUUAACUGCUUGCCAGAGUCUGUGGUACAGACUGAUAACUUUGGAGAGACCUGUGCUGUCUGCCUUGAAGCCCCAACUAUUGGAGAAAAAAUACGUCAUCUCCCUUGUUUACACAAAUUUCACAAAGAUUGUAUUGAUCCUUGGCUCAGCAGAAAAACAUCAUGCCCGAUUUGCAAAUCAUCUAUAACUUCUUGAUUUUGCACUAUUGAGUUUCGGUGCUUCAAUUAUGAUGAUGCCCCAUUUUAGGUCGAUAUGCUAUUGACCUUUAGGAAAGAUGGUCAUCAGGAGGCUUCCUUCUGUUAUUUUGAAAUUGAUUUGUGGCUACCAGUUGGGCUAGCUUGUAGACUGGGGUUGAACCAAACCAAACCCUUGUGAUUUAGGGGUGGAGUCCUUGACCAAAAUUUUUGACGAAGUUAUCGCAAAGGGAAAUGACAUCCUGCACUGUUAAGGAGUUAGAAAAGAUAACCUGGAGCAUCAAGGGACAGACAGAUGAAAUCCAAAGUUUUCAUGUCCUAUUCGAUUGCUGUGAGGAGUAAGAGCAAAUGUGAUGCUCAUGAACUGCCACGAGAUGUAUCGUAACAUAAAAACUUUUAAGAUUCGACCUUCAUUCUAACGCGUUUUAGAUUCAACCUUCAAGUCCUCGAAGGGCUCGGUUAAGUGAUAGGGAAAAUGGUUUAACUUGAGGUCAUCCGUUCAAGUCUUGCUAUUGACUUCUUAGUGAGAUUAGUUCAACUUGUGUGGAUACCCUAAAUUUCAACUUGCUGCAGAGGCUUUUCUGGAUUUGUAAAUGAAGAUGCGCAAUGUUCUUUGUCAAGUAGAUGAGCAGUGCUUUCAUCUGUACACCCAUUUCUGUAAAAAAGAAUAGGGUUUAAAUCUUUUGUGAGUAAUUUAGGUUUAGAUUUCCUGG